rnacentral:tRNA from 1 species
GCAUUGAUAGCUUAAAAAUUAGAGCAUAGCACUGAAGAUGCUAGAGUGGCAAUAUAUGCCUCAAAGCA